UCUUCCCCUUCUUCUUCACCCCCCCAACUCUUUUCCUCUUUUCCCCUUCUCCACCCAAAAACCCUAGCGUCCUCCUCCUCCUCCUCCUCUCUCUCAUCCUCUCCACCCCCUCCUCGUCCAUGGCGCAGAGCAACAACAGCGCCAUCCCCAUCACCGAGCAGUUCUGGUCCCUUGUCGACAAGGCCGAUCGCCGCUUCUCCCGCGUCCGCGAUCGCCCCUCCCAUGACCGCAAUCGGGACGACGGGGACUUCCACAAGGCGUUCAAGCUCUACACGCGGCUGUGGAAGGCGUGGCGCUCACCGAGGCCGGGAUGCGGCGGUGGGAGGUGGGCGAGAUCGCGUACCGCAUCGCCCAGCUCUACUACGGCCAGUACUGCCGCACCAGCGACUCCUCCUACCUCGCCGAGGCCUUCGUCUUCUACGAGGCGGUCCUCGACCGCGAGUACCUCCGCGACGCCCCCUCCGCCGCCGCCGCCGCCGCAGCCUCCGAGGUCGCCCUCGCGCAUAAGCAGCUCCGUCUCCUCGUAAGGUUCCUCAACGUUUCGCUCAUCCUCGGGCGCCGCGAGAUGGUCUUGCGGCUCGCAUUGCUCCUCCGGAUUGUCCUCGAGGAGCACAGGCGGAGUUUUCAGGUAGAAUGAGAGCGUGAAAAACAUCACCUUGUAAUUUACGAAUCACUUUAGGAAAGGGGUAUUGCUAUUUACCUUUUACGAAUAGUUACAAUUUCUUGCAAGAAGAUCCAGAAUCAUUUAGAUUGUUUCAGCAAAGGAUGCUAUUUUUGCCCUUGCGCAGUCAGGAUUAUGUGCUGCUUUUUGUCGAACAACAAACAAGCGGUUAUGUUUCUUGAAUAUUAGCCCGGAUGAAGUGAUUAGAUGCCUUUUCUAUAACAAGAACAACGAUUCACUUAUUACAGUCUCAGUUUAUGCUUCGGACAACUUCAGUUCUUUAAAGUGCAGGACAACUCCAAUAGAGUCUAUCAAGAGGAAUAGAUUUGUUGCUGCAAUUCUAAUGGGACUAAACCGUGAUUCUACAAGUAAAAUCGAUUUCAUAUUAUCUGUUCACGGUAGCUUAACAUCAAGCAGUUGAAUAUCUAUCUUGGAAUAUGUCUUUUCUUGGUUUUCUUAGCUUGAUUAUAGUAAUAUUUAGUUAGUUGGCAUUUGGUGAUAUUGUUGUCCUGCUACAAUCAUUUUUCUGCUUCUGGGAUGAUAGUUUUAGAAUUAUGGUUCGUCUAUUUUGCAGGCAUUCAAAGAAUAGAAAAAAAUUGUGUAUCUAGAAAAUAUGCCUGUCAGGUACUUUAUUAUGCAUGCAGGCUUGUAGAUUGUUUAAUUUAUAUAAUUUAUUUUUUUUCUUUUGUUUGUUGCAGGAAAUGAAUUACUGUUAAAAUAGGAGCUGAAGCAUUUUUCUUUUAUCAUUUUUUAAGUAUUUUCUAUUUUCAAAGUUGAGAGAGUAAGGAAUAAUGUUGAACUGUAUAUCGAAUAUUAUACUCUAUUGCCUUUAAAUUGAUUUUGCUAUUAUUUUGUUUUUAA